AUGUAACCGCCAUGGGGUAGGAAGCCCGGAACUAUUCUCCGUUCAGAAGAAUGCUGCUAACAAAGUAACUCACAUUUUCACAUGAAGGAGAACAAGUUAUGAAUGUGUCUUAUGAGCAAAGCAGAAUCAUUGCUUAUAAGUCAGUAAGUGUACCUGAAAACAUUCUACACAGUUGAGUUCAUCAAUAAUUAUUGGAGCAGAAUUCUAUAUCAAUCUGGAGCCUGACCGACCUUACUGAGAGGUGACUUCAUAUUAAGGGGAACUGGGUGAAUUUUACUCAGAGAGAAAAGGAAACUUCUUAGGCACAGUGGAAACACUGCUGGUUGAAGAAUUCAUUCAAGCUGACAGUUUGUCCUUGGACAUCUGCUCUUUCCCAAGCAUGUGACUGUCAUCUCCAGGCUCUUCCCAGAUGUUUCAAAAUCAUCCUCUGGGAUUUAACCUAAACUUGGCUCCCCAGAGAGACUGUUCUCAGUUACCAUGCCCCAAAGCCUCAGCUGCUAAGAGAUGCCAUGCUUACAGAACAAAGUCCUUGGCCCAUGUGGGUAUGCUCGCACAAGGUGGUACCUGGAGAGAUGACAAAGACAAUGUACAGCAAGCCUACGACCAACAUAAACCUAAAGGGAAAGAAAUAAUUUUCACUAAAAUCAAGAACAAGAAAAGGAUGUCUGCUCCCUUCGUAUCUAUUCGAUUUAGUACUUGAAAUAUUAGCUAGAGCAAGAAGAAAACUGAAGGAGAUCAAGGGGUUACCAAUAGGAAAAGAAGACCACCUUGUUAAGUUUUGGGUAUGGAAUCUGGAAAUAAAGAGACCUUUAUUUAUAGGAAAUC